rnacentral:rRNA from 1 species
AUUGAACGCUGGCGGCAGGCCUAACACAUGCAAGUCGAACGAGUGGCGGACGGGUGAGUAAUGUCUGGGAAACUGCCCGAUGGAGGGGUAUAACUACUGGACACGGUAGCUAAUACCGCAAACCACCCGAUGCGCCCAGAUGGGAUUAGCUAGUAGGUGGGGUAACGGCACACCUAGGCGACGAUCCCUAGCUGGUCUGAGAGGAUGACCAGCCACACUGGAACUGAGACACGGCCCAGACUCCUACGGGAGGCAGCAGUGGGGAAUAUUGCACAAUGGGCGCAAGCCUGAUGCAGCCAUGCCGCGUGUAGGAAGAAGGCCUUCGGGUUGUAAAGUACUUUCAGCGAGGAGGCGUUACUCACAGAAGAAGCACCGGCUAACUCCGUGCCAGCAGCCGCGGUAAUAC